UCCCUGGUGAUCCAGUGGUUAGAACUCAAUGCUUUUACUGCUGAGACCUAGGUUUGAUCCCUGGUCAGGGAG
rfam:Ovis aries breed Texel chromosome 2, whole genome shotgun sequence.